GAAUUGGAGCAUCAAGCUAUGAUAUAUAAGUAUUUGGUGGCUGGUAUUCCGGUGCCGGCGGACCUUGUUGUGCCUAUACGACGUAGCUUUGAACCCAUUUCAGCAAGGUUCUUUCAUCAUCCUAGCUUGGGGUACUGUUCCUAUUAUGGGAAGAAGUUUGAUCCUGAGCCAGGAAGGUGUAGAAGGACAGAUGGAAAGAAGUGGAGGUGCGCCAAAGAUGCAUAUCCUGACUCAAAGUAUUGCGAGCGGCACAU
rnacentral:misc_RNA from 1 species